rnacentral:misc_RNA from 1 species
GAUGAAGAACGCAGCGAAAUGCGAUAAGUAACGUGAAUUGCAGAAUUCAGUGAAUCAUCGAAUCUUUGAACGCACAUUGCGCCCGCCAGUAUUCUGGCGGGCAUGCCUGUUCGAGCGUCAUUACAACCCUCAGGCCCCCGGGCCUGGCGUUGGGGAUCGGCGGAGCCCCCCGUGGGCACACGCCGUCCCCCAAAUGCAGUGGCGGUCCCGCCGCAGCUUCCAUCGCGUAGUAGCUAACACCUCGCGACUGGAGAGCGGCGCGGCCACGCCGUAAAACACCCAACUCUUCUGAAGUUGACCUCGAAUCAGGUAGGAAUACCCGCUGAACUUAAGCAUAUCAAUAAGCGGAGG